GCCGAGAUCGCAUAAUCUGGUAUUGCGCAGGACUGCUAAUCCUGUUUCCUUUGGAUAUCUGGGUUCAAAUCCCAGUCUCGGCG
rnacentral:tRNA from 1 species